rnacentral:rRNA from 1 species
ACGUAGGUGGCGAGCGUUGUCCGGAAUCACUGGGCGUAAAGCGCGCGCAGGCGGCGAUCUACGUCUGGGGUGAAAGCCCGGAGCUCAACUCCGGGACUGCCUUGGAUACGGGAUCGCUUGAGGAUUGGAGAGGCAAGGGGAAUUCCACGUGUAGCGGUGAAAUGCGUAGAGAUGUGGAGGAACACCUGUGGCGAAGGCGCCUUGCUGGCCAAUUACUGACGCUGAGGCGCGAAAGCGUGGGGAGCAAACAGGA